CUAUGGGGCGCUAUGGGGCUACGCCCGCAGACAGGCCUCCACACAUUCACUAUGGGGCUCUAUGGGGCUCUAUGGGGCUCUAUGGGGCGCUAUGGGGCAGUGUCUAUGGGGCAGUGUCUACAGGGCGCUAUGGGGCUACGCCGAUAGGCCUCCAAGCGCUCGCUAUGGGGCGCUAUGGGGCUCUAUGGGGCGCUAUGGGGCAGUCUCUAUGGGGCUCUAUGGGGCGCUAUGGGGCUACGCCCGCAGAUAGGCCUCCAAGCGCUCUCUAUGGGGUGCUAUGGGGCUCUAUGGGGUGCUAUGGGGCUCAACGGCCGCUAUGGGGCUCUAUGGGGCGCUAUAGGGCGCUAUGGGGCACUCUCUAUGGGGCGCUAUGGGGCUCGACGGCCGCUAUGGGGCUCUAUGGGGCACUAUGGGGCUUUAUGGGACUCUAUGGGGCGCUAUGGGGCAGUUUCUAUGGGGCGCUAUGGGGCUACGCCCGCAGAUAGGCCUCCAAGCGCUCACUAUGGGGCUCUAUGGGGCACUAUGGGGUUCUAUGGGGCAGUGUCUAUGGGGCGCUAUGGGGUGCUAUGGGGCACUGUGGGGCAGUGUCCAUGGGGCACUAUGGGGCUACGCCCGCAGAUAGGCCUCCAAGCGCUCACUAUGGGGCUCUAUGGGGCACUAUGGGGUUCUAUGGGGUGCUAUGGGGCGCUAUGGGGCAGUGUGUAUGGGGUGCUAUGGGGCUACGCCCGCAGAUAGGCCUCCAAGCGCUCACUAUGGGGCUCUAUGGGGCGCUAUGGGGCACUAUGGGGUUCUAUGGGGUGCUAUGGGGCGCUAUGGGGCAGUGUCCAUGGGGCGCUAUGGGGCUACGCCCGCAGAUAGGCCUCCAAGCGCUCACUAUGGGGCUCUAUGAGACACUAUGGGGUUCUAUGGGGUGCUAUGGGGCGCUAUGGGGCAGUGUCCAUGGGGCGCUAUGGGGCUACGCCCGCAGAUAGGCCUCCAAGCGCUCACUAUGGGGCUCUAUGGGGCUCUAUGAGGCACUAUGGGGUUCUAUGGGGUGCUAUGGGGCGCUAUGGGGCAGGGUCUAUGGGGCGCUAUGGGGCUACGCCCGCAGAUAGGCCUCCAAGCGUUCGCUAUGGGGCAGCCGCCCCCACCGCGCCAACAGCCGCAGCGCCGCCGCCAACAGCUUCGUACUGAGAGCCUCCAACCUAUGGGGGGGGGGGGCAGAAUGUGGGGCGCCGUGGGGCAGAGAUGUGGGGCAGCCGCCCCCCAUCUCACCCCAUAGAUUCC
ensembl:lncRNA